rnacentral:rRNA from 1 species
UACAGCGGGAAGCCAGGCGGCGACGCCGAGCGGAACCCGAAAAACCCUGUCUCAGUUCGGAUCGGAGUCUGCAACCCGACUCCGUGAAGCUGGAUUCGCUAGUAAUCGCGCAUCAGCCAUGGCGCGGUGAAUACGUUCCCGGGCCUUGUACACACCGCCCGUCAAGCCAUGGGAGCCGGGGGGUACCUGAAGUGCGUGACCGCAAGGAGCGCCCUAAGGUAAAACCGGUGACUGGGGCUAAGUCGUAACAAGGUACC